CGUGACAAUCUUGAAGCCUAGUCAUAAAAAAUUUAGAGGAAUGGAAUGAUGGGAAAUAGGCCCUCACGUGAUAGGCAAGCGGUGGAUUUUACUCGGCUCGCUUCGGUGGCUUCGGUUUCGUCUGCUGCGGGGGUUUCGGAAUAUGCGCACAUACUCAGCGUGGCAAACGCGCGCCGAGGUUAGUGAAGGAAUUCGAGUGUGUGAAGCAGUUGAGUCUCGCCGCCUAAUUAGCAGACAGGCGCCAAGGCUGUUGCGAACGAAGGCGUCGGUUAACCGGCAUUGCGCCGAACAAGCCGGGAGGACCACCUCAAGGACGACUGGUUGCGUUUCGGUGUGGUUUCAGGGAAACGAGGGAACCUUUCGCCCUGCAAAUGUGUGAAGGCAACCAAGCCGCCCUUCCGACGACGAUUCGUUGCGUUUGACGACGUCUUCUGGGAAACAAUGAUGCCUUUCGCCCCCGCAAAAUGUGCACGCGAUUAAGCGAGCGUACAGGAUCCGAAGCGACUGUCCCUACGGGGAAAAAAUGCGUCCCGUCAUGUGCCCAAGGAUGGACUGGCGAGCCGGAGACUCCGAACAUAUUUAGGGCCGUGCCGGCCCGUAGCGCAGUCGACACUGUUGCUCGAGAUCUGCUCAAAGUCUUCGGCCUCUUAGCAGACCGGCGAGAACUCCCGUCAGCAGUAGGCGCACCUGCGUGAUGAAGUGUUUUGUGCCAGGAUGCCCUAAUCGAACAGAAAAUCGGCGCGAUGGCCUGUCCUUCCAUAGUCUCCCAGUCCAAGGCCCUCCAGGACGCUCAAGGGUGAAGCUUCUGCAGCACUGCCUGCACACAACCCAGCGACACCUCGAACAGCAAGGCAUACUAUGCCACAGCCAGCAGAAGACGCACCUGAAAAGGCCUUUCUGAGGCAUGAAGUAUGGCGUUACACAAUUACAAACUGCGACCAAGAAGAAGAUGAAGACUCUACGGCAAUCCCAUCAACACCUUUUUCAAAAGGUUGCUCAUCUCGAAAAUGUCAUAGAAGAUUUAUCUGACAAUCGCAUUCUAGGAAAUGAGGAUGUCGCCAUAUUGCAGAGUCUUGGUGGGGCAAAAAAAGACUUGCUCAUGCGUCAACUGCCACAUAAGUCUGGUGCCAGCAAUGUCACCCGCUUACUCGCCAGAGCUCAGGCCAUUUGCACUGACUUUGCAUUUUUAUUCCCCUAGAGCAUACAGAUAUGUACGAGCUGUUUUCAACACAUGCCUCCUGCAUCCAAAGACACUGUGUAAAUGAUAUCAAUCCAUUGAUAGGGCUGCUGACUUUUCAAAAGAGGCAAUGACUGCAUUGGCUAUCAAGGUAAAGCACGGCUCUCCACAUUAUGCAAUCUGGUUGUGGAUGAGAUGGCCAUUCAAAGAAGUAGUGUGGGAUGGGAUAAGCUUCCAUGGAUAUGUUGACAUGGGCAUUGAUGUCAAUGAUGACAGCUUUCCAGUUGCCUAAGAUGCAUUUGUUUUAAUGCUUGUUGCAAUCAAUGGCAGAUGGAAGCUGCCGAUUGGCUACUUUCUAGUGCAUGGCCUUGGUGGUGAGCAGAGGCGCAAUUUGGUGCUGCAAGCUGCUAGCUUCACUCACGAAAAAGGUGCACACAUUUUGAGUUUGACCUGCGAUGGCGCUGCAGCGAAUUUGUCAUUGCUGCACAGCCUUGGCUGCAAGAUGGACCUGACUGAGCUGGAUGCUUCUUUUCCACAUCCAGUGACAAAAAAAAAACUUUUCUUUGCCAUGUCGGAUCCCUGUCACAUGUUGAAGCUACUGCGGCACACCCUGUUUGAUAAAAAGGCUAUUGUGAUACGAACAAACAGUUCAUAUUGUUGAAACACAUUGAUGAGCUGCAUGAAAUCCAGUACACAGAGGGCCUACAUUUGGCAAACAAACUUAGACAAGCACAUAUUACCUGGAAAAACCAGCCCAUGAAAGUCUCAUUGUUGGCUCAAACGUUUAGUCAAUCGGUAGCAGAUGCUCUUAGUGACUGCAGAGCUCAAAAAAUUCAAAGUUUUCAAAUUCCUUGCCAACAGAAGAGUUUAUCAGACAUGUCAACAACGCAUUUGACAUUUUAAAUUCAAGACAUUCAAGGCAAGAAGAAUAGAAAGGACCGCUGUGUCCUGAAAAUGUGACUCCUGUCACUGCGUAUGUCAAAGAACUUAUGGCCUACUUUUGCUCGCUUAGGGAGUCUGCAGCUGGUAAACUAAUGACAGGGACCACCCAAAAGACAGGCUUCAUUCGCUUUGUGGUGUGCUUAGACAACCGUCUAUACAACCACUUGGUUACAGAAAAUGACCUAUUGGCAUAUCUUUCGACUUCCAAGCUCAGUCAGGACCACCUUGAGUUACUUUUUUGCUGCAAUAAAAUCAUUUGGGGGCUGCAAUGACAACCCAACAGCAAAGCAGUUUGCAGCAGCAUUGAAGCGUCUGAUAGUUCGUAAUGAGGUCAAGGACAUUGAUGGCGGAAAUUGCUUUCUAUUGGAACA